CCCGCAGUUUGGUCAAACUCAUGUUCAUAGCUUCGAGAACACUGUCCCACCAUCUCGUCCUCUGUCAUCCCCUUCUCCUUGUGCCCUCCAUCUUUCCCAACAUCAGGGUCUUUUCCAGGGAGUCUUCUCUUCUCAUGAGGCGGCCAAAGUAUUGGAGCCUCAGCUUCAGGAUCUGUCCUUCCAGUGAGCACUCAGGGCUGAUUUCCUUCAGAAUGGAUAGGUUGGAUCUUCUUGCAGUCCAUGGGACUCUCAAGAGUCU